GGUCGUGUGGCGCAAUGGUAGCGCGUUACUUUCCGGUCCAGAUUAUCUCUGGUUGGUAAAGGUUCUGGGUUCGAGUCCCAGCAUGAUCG